CAGGGAGACAAUAAAUUGAUUGUGAUGUCUAAGUUAUUUAUUCUUAGACCGCAAUCCUGUCACCUUAAGGUCGAUCGGUACCUCAGAUUUUUGAAUUAUUUUUAUAAUUAAUUCUUUCAUUUCAGUUCCUAAACUUGUCUAGGUCACACCCAACAAAGGUUUCUCCUGGGCCAUUAGCUCAGGUGGUUAGAGCGCACCCCUGAUAAGGGUGAGGUCCCUGGUUCAAGUCCAGGAUGGCCCAUUCGUUGUUGGGGGUAUAGCUCAGUUGGUAGAGCGCCUGCUUUGCAAGCAGGAUGUCAGCGGUUCGAGUCCGCUUACCUCCACUGAAAACUAUCCUGAUAACUAAAUUUUGGAGAAAAAUUGUAGAUGUGACUUAGUAUUGUCUAUUUGAAGAGAACCUAGCUUCUUGUCAUCUUUUUAUAGUUGAUAAAAUGCUGGGCUCGCAUGGAUUACUUCCAUGUGAAUUCAGUAGAACCUUGAAAACUGCAUAGAUUAGAAAGAAUAAAGCAUCUCAUGGAUGCAUAAUUCUGUUUAAAUAAUUCAGCCUUAAAACUAAAUUAUUUAAAUCUUGAAUUCAUGUUUAAUUCUUGAGUAAAAGCCGAGCACAAUUGAUUUUGUGAUUGUAUUAAA
rnacentral:tRNA from 1 species